GUCCACAGAAAACUCCACAUAGCCUGGUUUAUGUACCGAAUCAACAAGAUUUUAAAGUUUUCAAACUCAAUAAAAGAGACCAUAAGGGCUAACCACUUCUUUGUUUAACAGUGCAACUGAGAAAAGUGCUGAUCCAACACAAACUGAGGCUGCUGAGGAGAAGCCUCUUAAAAAGGCACCGAGCAGCACGGUCCAUUCCCUGGGUAGACACAGGCAGACUGCGGCAGAUUAAGUGGUUUUCUUAAUGUCUCCUCUCUGGCAAAGUUUCUUUCAGAAGCGUGGAGAGGCAAACAUGCCCCGGUGAAAGACUCGCUCCCCAUUAGAGGAGGUAAAUGGCUCUUCUGUGAGCAAGCGGCUAAAGUGGGGUGCAGAUAAAGGACCUCUCCACACACGUCUUCAGCUGGAUUAGAGAGAUCAAUGGUAAUGUGAGGGGGGCCCACACAAGAUGGAUGCCAGGAGCAGGUUAACUUAUCGACUCCUCAAAAGAGACACACACAGACCACCACAAUGGAGACUGAUCCAUUUACGGAGGUGAACCUGAGCUGGUUGGUUUUGGAAUCACUCUGUGUAUUGUUGUCACUUUUUAGUGUUUUCAGUGUGGAAACAUUUCUGUCAAUUUCUUUUGCAAUGAAGAGAAAAAAUAGGUUUCUUCUAA